UACGUAGGCAGCGAGCGUUGUUCGGAGUUACUGGGCGUAAAGGGUGUGUAGGCGGUUGUUUAAGUUUGGUGUGAAAUCUCCCGGCUCAACUGGGAGGGUGCGCCGAAUACUGAAUGACUUGGAGUGCGGGAGAGGAGAGUGGAAUUCCUGGUGUAGCGGUGAAAUGCGUAGAUAUCAGGAGGAACACCUGUGGCGAAAGCGGCUCACUGGACCAUAACUGACGCUGAUGCACGAAAGCUAGGGGAGCAAACAGG
rnacentral:rRNA from 1 species